rnacentral:rRNA from 1 species
AGAGUUUGAUCCUGGCUCAGAUUGAACGCUGGCGGCGUGCCUAAUACAUGCAAGUCGAGCGAAUCAUUAGGAGCUUGCUCCUGAUGGUUAGCGGCGAACGGGUGAGUAACACGUGGGCAACCUGCCUGUAAGACUGGGAUAACUUCGGGAAACCGGAGCUAAUACCGGAUAAUCCUUUUCCUCACAUGAGGGAAAGCUGA